rnacentral:rRNA from 1 species
UUGAACGCUGGCGGCAGGCCUAACACAUGCAAGUCGAGCGGUAGCACAGAGAGCUUGCUCUCGGGUGACGAGCGGCGGACGGGUGAGUAAUGUCUGGGAAACUGCCUGAUGGAGGGGGAUAACUACUGGAAACGGUAGCUAAUACCGCAUAAUGUCGCAAGACCAAAGUGGGGGACCUUCGGGCCUCAUGCCAUCAGAUGUGCCCAGAUGGGAUUAGCUAGUAGGUGGGGUAACGGCUCACCUAGGCGACGAUCCCUAGCUGGUCUGAGAGGAUGACCAGCCACACUGGAACUGAGACACGGUCCAGACUCCUACGGGAGGCAGCAGUGGGGAAUAUUGCACAAUGGGCGCAAGCCUGAUGCAGCCAUGCCGCGUGUGUGAAGAAGGCCUUCGGGUUGUAAAGCACUUUCAGCGGGGAGGAAGGCGGUGAGGUUAAUAACCUCAUCGAUUGACGUUACCCGCAGAAGAAGCACCGGCUAACUCCGUGCCAGCAGCCGCGGUAAUACGGAGGGUGCAAGCGUUAAUCGGAAUUACUGGGCGUAAAGCGCACGCAGGCGGUCUGUCAAGUCGGAUGUGAAAUCCCCGGGCUCAACCUGGGAACUGCAUUCGAAACUGGCAGGCUAGAGUCUUGUAGAGGGGGGUAGAAUUCCAGGUGUAGCGGUGAAAUGCGUAGAGAUCUGGAGGAAUACCGGUGGCGAAGGCGGCCCCCUGGACAAAGACUGACGCUCAGGUGCGAAAGCGUGGGGAGCAAACAGGAUUAGAUACCCUGGUAGUCCACGCCGUAAACGAUGUCGAUUUGGAGGUUGUGCCCUUGAGGCGUGGCUUCCGGAGCUAACGCGUUAAAUCGACCGCCUGGGGAGUACGGCCGCAAGGUUAAAACUCAAAUGAAUUGACGGGGGCCCGCACAAGCGGUGGAGCAUGUGGUUUAAUUCGAUGCAACGCGAAGAACCUUACCUGGUCUUGACAUCCACAGAACUUUCCAGAGAUGGAUUGGUGCCUUCGGGAACUGUGAGACAGGUGCUGCAUGGCUGUCGUCAGCUCGUGUUGUGAAAUGUUGGGUUAAGUCCCGCAACGAGCGCAACCCUUAUCCUUUGUUGCCAGCGGUUAGGCCGGGAACUCAAAGGAGACUGCCAGUGAUAAACUGGAGGAAGGUGGGGAUGACGUCAAGUCGUCAUGGCCCUUACGACCAGGGCUACACACGUGCUACAAUGGCAUAUACAAAGAGAAGCGACCUCGCGAGAGCAAGCGGACCUCAUAAAGUAUGUCGUAGUCCGGAUUGGAGUCUGCAACUCGACUCCAUGAAGUCGGAAUCGCUAGUAAUCGUAGAUCAGAAUGCUACGGUGAAUACGUUCCCGGGCCUUGUACACACCGCCCGUCACACCAUGGGAGUGGGUUGCAAAAGAAGUAGGUAGCUUAACCUUCGGGAGGGCGCUUACCACUUUGUGAUUCAUGACUGGGGUG